rnacentral:lncRNA from 1 species
UAUACUACUUUAUAGAGGAUUUUAAAUUUCUGAAUAAUAUUGUAAAAUGUGCACUCCUAAUAGAGUGUGCCAAUAGUAUUAUUCAAAAAUUAUAAUAGUGGAAACUGAAAAAAUUCAUGUUAGAAACGAAAGGUGCAGCUUUAUUCAAAAUAAAAAUGAUUUUUCUUAAAAUAUGGUAUAUCAGUUUGUGCCCGUGUUAAAUCCUACUUCCAAACCAAAUCAAAACCAAAUAAAAUAAAUUGGUUCAAUCUAUAUGCUACCUACGAAAUCGAAUUUAUUGUCGUUUGGUCCUC